CUCCGAGCCAGGUGCGGGAUGUAAUCUCGUGGUGCGCCGUUUUUUAAGCCCGUCGGAAAAGCGCAGUAUUCGGGUGGGAGUGACCCGAUUUUCCAGGUGCCGUCUGUCACCCCUUUCUUUGACUUGGAAAGGGAACUCCCUGACCCCUCGCGCUUCCCAGGUGAGGCAAUGCCUCGCCCUGCUUCGGCUCGUCCACGAUGCGCGCACCCACUGGCCUGCGCCCACUGUCUGGCACUCCCUAGUGAGAGAAACCCGGUACCUCAGAUGGAAAUGCAGAAAUCACCCGUCUUCUGCGUCGCUCACGCUGGGAGCUGUAGACCGGAGCUGUUCCUAUUCGGCCAUCUUGGCUCUCCCUUAGUCUAGAUUGCAGCUAAUCUUCCCCUUACAUGACACCUACAAGUUAAACAAACUGCAACUAGGAAGAUCGUGAUCAUUUGACUAGGACCUGGAUUGUUUGAGAGAGGCAGUCUAAAAGUAAGUUUUUACUAAUUAUUUUUGAACCUUGUAAUGGCAUUUUAAGCAACUGCUUUCACCUACAAUAAUAGUUACUUAUUUUACUUUUCCUGAAUAAGCCAGGCUCUUUCCUAAGUUUAUUAAAUGUAUUGUCUACUCUACCCCUUAUACCACAGACUCACAAUGUAGAUACUAUCAUGAUUAUAAUAAUCAUACUAUUAAUAAAAAUUAAUAUUACUUUAUUUGUAUUAUGGCUACUAUUGUUCUAUUGACAAAAAGAGAAGAGAGGUUAAGUAACGCGCAUAGAGAGAUAAGUACCAGGUCCCCAAAUAAACCUCAACCAUGUGGUUAAAGCCUAUUAAUAGCCUGACCACAAGCCCUCUGAGGUGGGAGCCUGGACACUUAAUAUCCUAUUAAUCCCUACUGUGCUGUGGGCUAGAGCCUAUGUGUCCCUUCAAGGAGCACAGGGAUGUUAAGUGUGGGUCUGUAGCUCUGGGGAGCUGUUUUCCUUUUAGGAAUACUCCUUGCUAGUUUUCAAAUAAUUCUUUAGCACUGAAGUUGGGACCCCUGAGACAUUUUUUUAUGUUCUAAAGACCACUCUGUUAGUUAAGUAAACCUGACUACAACCUUGAACAAAUUUAUAAUCUAUUGAAAUGUUACAGUAAAAGAAAUGCGAAGGUAAAGCAAAAAUUCUAAUUAUUUCAAAGGUAAUUGCAAACUAUCUAGCUGCCCUGAGAGUCUCCCCAAAGUCCCGGCAUUGCUUGGCACUACCACACCCUGUUUUCUGGAGGAUUUUUAGUUCAAACACGUACCUAAAUUUGACCAGAUAUCUAAAUUCCCAUUUGGAGACACAUCAUGGCAUGUAGGAUACUUUCCUACUUUUUCGCUAAAAAAGGUUUUCGAUCGAAAGUUGAAUGCUGUGGAUGUUGAAGUCCCAUGCGUCUGAGGUCCCAAGUCUCAGAAGCCUUUCCUCAUGCUGUUUCCAUACGUGUUUUCAGUUCUUGGAAUGAAAUUCUCAGAUUAGAACGCAUCAGACCUCUCUUAGUUCUCAUGGAGUAUGUAGAGGCCAUGAUGAACUGAAGAUUUCUCUCUGGUGUGGAUAUGUUUUCUCUUUUACCUCUGAACUUCUACAUCAAGACUUCGUGUGAAUGAGCUCUGCUUUUGAGGAUUCAUGACUCUUUUCCUCCAUGAUUUGAAAAUGUAUAUUCAAAAGAUUAAAAGAUGGAGCUGGCCGAGUGAGGUGGCUCAUGCCUGUAAUCCCAGCACUGUGGGAGGCCGAAGCAGGUGGAUCACUUGAGGUCAGCAGUUCAAGACCACCCUGGCCAACAUGGUGAAACCCUGCCUCUACUAAAAAUACAGAAAUUAGCCAAGUGCAAUGGCAGGCACCUGUAAUCCCAGCUACUCGGGAAGCUGAGGAUGGAGAAUCACUUGAACCCUGGAGGCAGAGGUUGCAGUGAACUGAGAUCACACCACAGCACUCCAGUCUGGGUGACUCAGUCUUGAAAAAUGAAAUGAAAUAAAAUAAAAUAAAAGAUAGAGCUGGAGUUUUGCUGGUUACUAUUAUUUAAUCAGAGGACAUAUCACCCUCCUCACAAAGGUGAGAAUCACACAGUCCCAGGAGGUUGUUUGGGCACCAGCUACAGGCCCACAGUCACCGUCAGCAAAAUCAAAUGUGUGUGUUACACACAGACGUCUCAUCUCCAUGGGCUUAUAGACACCAGGCUAGGCAACUAAAAGGGAAAAGUAUUUUUUAUUUUUAUUUUGUUUCUUCCAAGUUAAAGCAUGCUUUUCCUGUUUAUAAAACUUCUGUUUUUGGAAACACUUCUCACUGUACUUUACCAUGAGCAAGGUAAGAUAAGUUUUAUAAGUAGGAAAGCAUGCUUUUAUUUUUGUUUUUAUUUUAUACAAGUAAAGAAGAAAAUAAAAGCAAAACAAAAAUUUAUCUCUCUCAAGUGUCUACUCUCAAUGUUUUGUGCUUGCCACACCCCAUAGUCUAUACACAUACAUACUUACAAAGAGGAUUGUUCACCUGUGGGCUUGUUUAACAUACAUUUAUUUUAUAAUGUAUCAUAUAUAUCUUUUCAUAAUUUUUAAAAAAUUAUCUCUUCACUAUAAUGACUACAUAUGUUUGCAUUCUGGGGUGUUAAUUUAAUUUAAUUAGCAAAUCAUUUAUCAAUGCAUAUUUACUGUGACUAUGAUUGUUUAUAUUUUAACUAAUGUUGUGAUGACAUUCUUGUGUAUAUUUUGUUGCAAUACAUUUCCCAAAGGACAAUUUUUCAGCCUUAGGUUUUUCACAUUUCAUAUCUCUGAGACUGUGCUCCAUAAAGCUAUAUGGAUUUGGAUCCCCGUUAGAGACGUGUCUACACUCAUUUCUGAUAAAUGCACACAGGUAUCUCCAGGACUUAUGCCCUGCCCAGAAUACACUGGUUUUCUAUAAAUACUGUUGAAUGAAUAAAUGUAUCUUUAACAUUACCAUGGUGUUUUUUAACCUCUGUCAACAUGAGAAGCAAAACCUACCUCCUUGUUUUAAUUUACAUUUGUUUAAUUGCCUGUGAGGCCCAACAUCUUUUCAUAAAUGCCUGGCUAAUUUGUGUAUUUAUUUUUCCUCUUGUGAACUGCCUACUCAUUUUCUUUUGAUGUUAUUGAUGUGUAGGAUUCUCCUUGUUGACUUGUAAGAAUAAUUUAGAAACUAGUGAGUAAAUCUUUGUUUUGUGUGUCAAUUUUUUUUCAAUUAUUUGCUUGUCUUUUAUUGUUUGGUUGCUUUUACCUUAGGUAAAAAGGUAAGUGUUAUGUCUUUCUCCAGGUUUAAUUUAUUUAUUUUUUUGGAGGAGGGAUAUUCUGGGUCUUUACUACAUAACCCACCUCUACUCCAAAAGCAUAAUUUUUCACUAUUUUUAUAAACAUUAAUAUAUGUCCCAAACAUAAUUUUUGUCCUCAUUUUUUUAGAACACAGAACAACACACAGUUUUAGAACAUAAAGCAUAAAAUUUUUGAGUGUAUUAGUCUGUUCUCAUGCUGCUUAUAAAGACAUACCCAAGACUGGGUAAUUUAUAAAGAAAAGAGGUUUAAUGGACUCACAGUUCCACAUGGCUGGGGGAGCCUCACAAUCAUGGCAGAAGACGAAUGCGGAGCAGAGUCACAUCUUACAUGGCUGCAGGCAAUAGAGAUUGUGUAGGGGAACUGCCCUUUAUAAAACCAUCAGAUCUCGUGAGACUUAUUCACUAUCAAGAGAACAGCAGGGAAAAGACCUGCCCCAUGAUUCAAUUACCUCCCACUGGGUCCCUCCCACAACAUGUGGGGAUUAUGGGAGCUACAAUUCAAGAUGAAGUUUUGGGGGGGACACAGCCAGACCACAUCAAAGGGUCUUCAUUUGAAUUGUUUUCCACAUGAGGAUGAGAAGAUUUCUAUUUUUUUAAUUUAAAUACUAGUCAGCUGAGUAUUUUUUACUCAGUAUCAUUUACUGAAAACCUAACUUUUCCCCAGAGUUGAAAGGACAUCUCUGUUAAAUAUGAGAUUUGCAUAUAAAACUGGAUAAAGCUUAAACUCUGAAUUCUCUUCUUCUUAUCCCCCCAUCUAUUGCUAGGCCUGUAACAUACCCUACCAUUUGAAUUAUUUACCUUUCAAGUGCAUUUUAUGUUUUCUUAAUUUAUAUGGUCCUCUUUAUGCUUCCUUGCAUAAUUCCCACUCCCAUUUUUGUAUAUUUAUUUUCUGGAUAAGCUUUAGAAUAAUUGCUGUUGUGUUUUAAAAUAUUGGUGGAACUUUAUUAAGAUGCUAUUGAAUAUAUGAAUUAAAUUGGGAAGACUUGUCAUCUUAAUGAAAUAGAAUCUUCCCAUCUAAGAAGCAGGUAUGAUUUUCAAUAUUUCAUCAUAUGUUUAUACAUACAACAUGGCUUUUAAAUUUCAUUUCAGGAAAGUAUAGAAAUAUGGGCUGACUUGCUAUCAUUUUUUUUUUUUUUGAGAUGGAGUUUCAUUCUUGUUGCCCAAGCUGGAGUGUAAUGGCGUGAUCUUGGCUCACUGCAACCUCGGCCUCCCAGGUUCAAGCAAUUCUCCUGCUUCAGCCUUCUGAGUAGCUAGGAUUACAGGCAUGCGCCACCACAGAUGACUAAUUUUGUAUUUUUAGUAGAGACAGGGUUUCUCCAUGUUGGUCAGGCUGGUCUCGAACUCCCAACCUCAGGUGAUCCACCCGCCUUGGCCUCCCAAAAUGCUGGGAUUAUAGCCAUGAGCCACCGCGCCCGGCCCAAGAGUUGCUAUCUUAAUGAAAUAUAACCUUCCCAUCUAAGAAGCAGAGUUUUGCUCGGUCACUCACGGCAACCUCCGCCUCCUGGGUUCAAGCAGUUCUCCUGCCUCAGUCUCCCGAGUAGCUGGGACUCUACAGGCAUCCCCCAUCAGGGCUUGAAAACAGAAAUCCUGCCAAGUCCCACGUUUUCUUCGGUUCCAAGCACAGAGAGACAUUCUUCAAGAAGAAUUUGGAAAGCAGAGAGGUUGUGAGAAAAAAACGAAAUUGUUUUCCCAUAAGAAGAAAUUCUAUCAUGUAUCAUUGACAAUACCUAGGUUCCCAAAUUUGGAUGAUGUUUUGGCUGUCAUCCAAACAUUAUAUGAAUGCAGUUAUUGGACCCAGAGUCACAUUCAGCUGUCUCAUCUUACGCCAAUCAAUCAUAAUCUCGAUAGUUGUCAUGAAGUCCACACACGAGCAACAGACAACUACAGAGAUGAAUGCCUGCAUGGAAAAUCGUAAGGUAUUUUGUCUUUAAAGCUACAUGAAGUAUAUUCUGGAGUGAUUUGUUUUUACAAGAAAUAAUUAUCUUUGGAAAUGGAAGUCAACAAACGUAAUCCAGAUUACAACUUUACAGUUUACCACAUCAUGUGGAUGAAUAGUCAAACCAAGUUAACUUUCAUGACACUUUGCAAACACUUCUCUAUUAGAAAGGCAAGCAAUGCAUGGAAAUGCUGCUAACUUGUUUGGAAAUACAGAUGACAUCAUCUCUGGAGAACAGUCAUACUUGUAAGCCAAAAAAAUGACAUGAACUAGUUUACAACGAAUAGUAUAUAUGAUUACU
rnacentral:lncRNA from 10 species